GAGAAACUGGUGGUGCGUCAUGUUAAUGGAGAAUCUGGAACUUGGCAGUUAUGGACAAAUGUUUGCCCAUUGGACGGAGUCCUCCAAGGCCCUCUUACGAUGUGACGUGUCUCCAGUUUAUAGACUGAAGAAGAGGACACUGGAUGACAUCACCAAGGACCAAGACCAGCUUUAAACUACACAGGCUGACUUAUUCCAUACCGAAAAGGUCAAAAUGGAUAAAAAGGUGAUCCAUGACUGCAGAAAAGCAGCACACUGGUUGGAAGAAAACCAAAGUCUCUUCAGAGGCAAUGUGGAUUUGCCUGACAUUUUGAUGAUGGGGGAGGAGAAUGUGGCUGAAGCAGUCAAGCUAUUCAAAGAAAUGUGUGAAGUAGAUGACUUCACCAUUGAUGAGCAUGAGAGGGAGAUGGUUUUAGAAC